AAGCCUGUUUGGCGUGAACUCUAAACACCCAGCAUGUGAUAGCUCAUGACACAGCCUGGUCUGCAGGAAGGCUGGCCCAGCCCGAGAUGCCCUGGGCGGAGGAAGCCGCCAGCAGGGAGAUCCCGGCUGUGGUCCCUCCGGCCCUGGCAGGACAGGCGAGGGGCAGGGGACUCCAGAGGGAGGCUAAGCCAGCAGCCCUUCACUCUCAGACGAGGACAAUGAACACAGCAAGGUGGUCACCUGCUGAAGGUCACCCAGCAGGAAACUGCUAAGAAUGUUCUAAGAACUUUUAAACUUCUAAGAGAAGCCAAAAAGGAAACAGGAACAGAUGCACCCGUGACAACCGAUGGAUGCACAGAAAACAGAUUCCCACCUGGGGACAGAAAGGAACCGAGGGGUCUCCCGUGAGGUCCAGACAAGAAAGUGCCUUUCAAUGGUAAGAUUCUGUAAGGACACUAAGAUUGAAUUAUUACGAACGGGCCAUCUUUUAAAGUUGCUUUGGGCUAAAGAAGUUACAAAGAUUAAGUCAACUCCAGGGAUAAAGUCUUGCACAGUUUGGAGCUGCUGGGACUGAGAGUCUCAGAAGCCCCAGGAGGCAUCUGCCCUGAUCACGGGAUUUCUAGAACUUGAUGCCUGGUGCCCAUCUAAGGAUGCCAACGGGAGGAGGUGGCUUCCUUGAUGGAAAGCCUUAUAAGCUCAGGGGGCCCACCCAAGGCAUCUGGACCAGCCUGUCCCCCGAGGCCUGGGCCUGCCUGGCUCACGGAGCGUCCCAGACGCAGGGCUGGCACUGCCGCUGGAAAGACACGCUUGCUAUGUGCCUGGACAGGGUACUGAGUCAGCGAAUGAUGACGCUGCCCAAAGGGCAGGGGUGUCGUGGGCUGUGGGCCUGGAGGCCUCUUUCUGGAAGGUGCUGGGGACUGGAUACAGAGGCUGCCCUCUGCACCUUCUCUCCACCCCUGCCCCUCGGUCCCCGAAGCCCUGAAUCCCAGCUGACCUCAAACAGGCUGUCGGGGUGGCCACGGCUGGGACACAUCACCCUUUUUUCACAGAGCAGGAGACAGAGGCGGCCUGCAGGUGCUAAGUGACUUGGUCCCAGGCCAUCUGUCUCCACUCAGGGCUGCUCGGGCCACAGCAGGCUCCCACACUGCAUUUGGUUUGGGAACUGCUCACUUGCAGGUUCCCUCGCAGCAAGGGACAGACACGGCCCAGCCAGACGCAGCUCACAGAUGUGGAAUGAGUCACGUGCAUUUCCCAACCCGAGGUUCAAUGGAACUGGUCUGUCCAGAUGCUGCAGAGCGUCCUCAUCGCCACAGUGGCUGGCAUUUCCACGCUGAGCACGGUGCCCACUGACAGGGAAUAACAAAUGGAAUCUCCACAAGACCCUUCCUGAGAUGGGAACUACCGCGGAUUAUGCGCGAGGAACAAAGGCACAGAGAGGUUCAGCAUUCAGCAGUUUGCCCAAUGACACACAGCGGGCAAGAGGCAGAGUGGGGAUGGAAGCUCAAGCCAUCUCCUCCAGAGCGAGGGCUCAUGAGGCCAAACAGACAUGUCUCUGCAGGAUUUCUGAGUCUUUCAUGUGCCGACAGGCAGCGUAAACUCCCAAGAGGACGACAGGCUGUCAUUUACCCCAGGUGUAUUAUCCCCAUUGACCUAGUAACUCUGUGCCGACGGGAUGCUCAUGCCCAGGUAUUGCAGGGAGUGGUGGCGCACUGGGCAUUCGUGAUCUCUGAAGGCACAAUGAGAAUUCUGCGGGGGGGGUGGUGGUUUGGGCUAUGCUCAGUCUUGCGGGUGCCCUUUCAGUGUCCCCAACUGUUUCUUAAAUUUAGCUUUUCUUGAACAGACAUUUUCUAAGAUCUGCCAUAUG
ensembl:lncRNA